rnacentral:rRNA from 1 species
UACGGAGGGUGCAAACGUUGCUCGGAAUCAUUGGGCGUAAAGCGCACGUAGGCGGUCCGUUAUGUCGGGUGUGAAAGCCCUCGGCUUAACCGAGGAAGUGCAUUCGAAACUGGCGGACUUGAGUACCGGAGAGGGUCGCGGAAUUCCCGGUGUAGAGGUGAAAUGCGUAGAUAUCGUGAGGAAGACCAGUGGCGAAAGCGAAUCUCUGGACAGAUCCUGACGCUGAUGCACGAAGGCUAGGGGAGCAAACGGG